AUAAAUUAUUAUCUUACAAGUAAAAUGUAUAAAUGUAAACUAAACGGUCGUUAGAAAAAUAACGUGCGAUCGUGGGCGAGUCAUUGUUUUGCGCUUACGUAUAUUAUUAGGUAGCGUAAAUCCACAUGUAUAUAUCUAUAUCGUUAUGCAUGCAGUUUUAUCAAAGUGGAUGUUACUAAUAAUAUAUGUAUAUAGAUGUACCAAGUACAUGCGAGUAGCUCGAGUGAUCCGAGACGUCACGUGCUCUCUUAUGUUUACACUGAGCCAAGUGGUGUUGCUGACCUGGGUCAAGGUUGUCCCAAUGCCUGUCGUAAUCUUUGAUUUAGAUAACAUGCUCUUUACAGUUAUUGUAACUAAACGCUUGCGUAUUAAUAUUAUUAAUAAACGUAUUAUAUAUUUACAGACACGUCAAUGUUAUCUUUCGAUAGUUAUUAUUAUUGUUAAUUAAUAUACACUCAACCUCGACAGUCAUUGACCACAAAUUCCAAUUAGUGUUAAUCAAUUAACAUUUCAAAAUUAAAUACAAGAAUUAUUGGGGGAUUGAUCUAAUUAAUUGGGAUAACAAUGUCUAGGAGGAUUAAUUAAUCAAAGGGAUAUAAUAUUGUCAUGUGUGGCGGAUCUUUAUAAUUUUUCUUCCGAUAAGAUAAGACUAAGUAAAGUAUUAGUUAACUAAGAAAUCUGACCGGUACCAGAAGACCAGUACCAGUAGCGGCAUAUUACACCAUUCCUGUUUGUAUAUAUAAUACAAAUACUAUUGAAUCGACGGUACGAUACCACCACGACGACGACGACAAGUGUACUCCACUUUCAUUCAUUCAGUAAUUCUAAAAAUAAGCUGCUGCCGAUUCACAACGCAUGAAUGACAAUCGAGUUGUAGGGAAUGGAAGGACGUAGUGCGGAUACGGGGAAUUGAAUUCUUCGUCCUCUAUACUAUACUUGAUCCAUAUAGAUAUAUAUGUGUAUACAUCUCUUCUAUCUCUCUUAUUGCUCUAGCUUUCUCCUUUGGUCGUUGGUUGACCCUGAAAUUUCGCGAAAAUCGAUUAACAUAGAUUUCACUACUGUUACUGUUACUGUUACAUAAAUGUGUGUUACACGGAAGAGAAUUCAUCAGCCAAACACGUUCUCAAUCUCUGGUUCGAGAGAUAUCAACAACUAACAACCCGGAUAACGUGGAAUAAACGUGCUGGAAUGAAGUCUGGCAACCCUGUACAGAGUUGAAGUUGCGGGGUUGAAUUUCAAACGUUUGCAGCAGCGAUACGAGGGGCUUACAGAGAACCAGCAGGCAGCAGCAGACCUCUCUACACAUACACAACACACAUACAAUAUUUAGUUGUAUAAAGUAAAACCGUGUACAGCUUAGUAGAGGGGACUAAUACAAACUCAAGCACGAAUACUACUACAAAUACCAAAUAAAGGCUUCUGUUGGUGUGCACCGUAGCUGCUUGGUUCUAUACUUACUUCAGUGGUAUCGCAUCGAUAUAUGUGUGUAUGUAGAGAGCAAAGAGGAGACGACGGCCAUGCUGCCAUGCGGGUUUAUGGACGCCUGGUAGGCGGACAAACAGAGUGGAAAACUGACGGCCCCUUCCUUUACUUAUAUUACUUGCCAGGUUGGGUUCAAGUUCCGUCACCGGUUCGACGAUUUUACCGUCGCACGAAUAUCCAUAACAUAACCAGCAGCAAGAACCUAAAAAUAUUCAACUCCACUCCAAAACAACACAUUUAUAGUUGGGUGUAGAGCAUGACUCGCUCAGCGCUUUCCAUCAUAUCAGUAUGCCUGGCUCAAGUUAACCGAUGAAGGAUGGAGUAGAUGCUUCGAUGUUGGUGUCUUGGUGCAAAUAGUCGAUGUAUUGGUAGCAUCGGAGUCCAGGGUUGGUGUGUGUAUGUGUGUGCGGCUGUCAGUCCAAGAAACAAGAGGAGAGAGCCACUAGACAAGGACAGGAUAUAAGAUAGAGGAGAUAAGAAAGACUAUAUAUACAGUACACGUGGAGCAGUACGUCCGGGUGAGCGAGUGAGUACAUUGUAGGUCGAUUUUAUAUGUGUAUGUAUAUUUAUACGUGUGUUUGCAGAGAUAAAGGACUGGGACUGGGGCUUGGUUGAAUGUGUGUGUGUGUGUGUGUGUGUGCUAGUGCUUGGUGGGAUUAUCGUCAUACUGCCGCCAACAUGUACAGCAUAGCACUAACACUAAAAACCGAGAACGAGCCGUCCCUGGCUCCACAUCCCACGGACUACGGACUACCGACAACUGCCUAGCCGAUGAAACUGGAUGUACCGAUGUACCGAUGUGCCAAUGUAAUGCCAACUACUUUCCACACUUGUAAACUUUGUCUAUAUAUAAUAUGCGUGCGCAUAAAUUCACCAUCUGUGUCUCUCCUUAAUAGAUCUAUGUACACUAUUUUAUUCUGGAUGUGUAUAUGUGUGUAUAAUGUUGUAGCUAGACUACUCCACGUGAAGAAGAAGAAGAAGAAGAAGUAGUAGUAGUAGUAGUAAUGACAUGUGAAUCAGAAGGGAAAGGAUUGUCAGGCAUUGCGAUGCUGUACCACCUAACGUCUCUUCCAGAUUCGAUACUUUACUCUAUUUGUGUCAUCCUUGCUAUCCUUACAUCUACGUCUCAAAUGAUAACAUACGUCAAGAUAAAUGUAUAUACAUAUAUGUUUAAGUUGUAGCAGAUGCGUAGAUGAUGUAGAAAUAGGAUCUGGUGUUGGGUAUACCAUUAUAUAUACCUUUGGUGAGCUGGCAGUACAGGUAUUUGAAAUUUAACAGGACAGCGGUGAGCGAUAGGAGCAGAAGCAACCCCUGUUGUGCUGAUGGAGAUUGUAUUUGGUUUAGUUGGAGCACCCAGCAGCUGAAUGUUCAA
rnacentral:lncRNA from 1 species